rnacentral:rRNA from 1 species
ACUCCUACGGGAGGCAGCAGUGGGGAAUUUUGGACAAUGGGCGCAAGCCUGAUCCAGCCAUGCCGCGUGAGUGAAGAAGGCCUUCGGGUUGUAAAGCUCUUUCGGCCGGGAAGAAAUCGCAUUGGUUAAUACCUGGUGUGGAUGACGGUACCGGAAUAAGAAGCACCGGCUAACUACGUGCCAGCAGCCACGGUAAUACGGAGGGUGCAAGCGU